rnacentral:rRNA from 1 species
AGCGAACGCUGGCGGCAGGCUUAACACAUGCAAGUCGAGCGGGCAUCCUUGUGGUGUCAGCGGUAGACGGGUGAGUAACGCGUGGGAACGUGCCCUUCGGUUCGGAAUAACUCAGGGAAACUUGAGCUAAUACCGGAUACGUGCGAGAGCAGAAAGGUUUAUCUGCCGAAGGAUCGGCCCGCGUCUGAUUAGCUAGUUGGUGAGGUUAUGGCUCACCAAGGCGACGAUCAGUAGCUGGUCUGAGAGGAUGAUCAGCCACACUGGGACUGAGACACGGCCCAGACUCCUACGGGAGGCAGCAGUGGGGAAUAUUGGACAAUGGGGGCAACCCUGAUCCAGCCAUGCCGCGUGAGUGAUGACGGCCUUAGGGUUGUAAAGCUCUUUUCUCCGGGACGAUAAUGACGGUACCGGAGGAAUAAGCCCCGGCUAACUUCGUG